rnacentral:rRNA from 1 species
UUGAACGCUGGCGGCAUGCCUUACACAUGCAAGUCGAACGGCAGCGCGGACUUCGGUCUGGCGGCGAGUGGCGAACGGGUGAGUAAUACAUCGGAACGUACCCUGUUGUGGGGGAUAACUAGUCGAAAGAUUAGCUAAUACCGCAUACGACCUGAGGGUGAAAGUGGGGGACCGGAAACGGCCUCAUGCAGCAGGAGCGGCCGAUGUCUGAUUAGCUAGUUGGUGGGGUAAAGGCCCACCAAGGCGACGAUCAGUAGCUGGUCUGAGAGGACGAUCAGCCACACUGGGACUGAGACACGGCCCAGACUCCUACGGGAGGCAGCAGUGGGGAAUUUUGGACAAAGGGGGCAACCCUGAUCCAGCAAUGCCGCGUGUGUGAAGAAGGCCUUCGGGUUGUAAAGCACUUUUGUCCGGAAAGAAAUCGCGCUGGUUAAUACCUGGCGUGGAUGACGGUACCGGAAGAAUAAGCACCGGCUAACUACGUG